ANAUAAGCCUGCAUGUCUAAGUAUAAGCAAUUAUACCGCGAAACUGCGAAUGGCUCAUUAUAUAAGUUAUCGUUUAUUUGAUAGCACAUUACUACAUGGAUAACUGUGGUAAUUCUAGAGCUAAUACAUGCUAAAAAUCCCGACUUCGGAAGGGAUGUAUUUAUUAGAUUAAAAGCCAACGCCCUUCGGGGCUUCCUGGUGAUUCAUGAUAACUUUUCGAAUCGCAUGGCCUUGCGCCGGCGAUGGUUCAUUCAAAUUUCUUCCCUAUCAACUUUCGACACGAAGGUCUUGUCUUCGCAUGGUUGCAACGGGUAACGGAGGGUUAGGGCUCGACCCCGGAGAAGGAGCCUGAGAAACGGCUACUACAUCCAAGGAAGGCAGCAGGCGCGCAAAUUACCCAAUCCCGACACGGGGAGGUAGUGACAAUAAAUACUGAUACAGGGCUCUUUUGGGUCUUGUAAUCGGAAUGAGUACAAUUUAAAUCCCUUAACGAGGAACAAUUGGAGGGCAAGUCUGGUGCCAGCAGCCGCGGUAAUUCCAGCUCCAAUAGCGUAUAUUAAAGUUGUUGUGGUUAAAAAGCUCGUAGUUGAACCUUGGGCCUGGCUGGCCGGUCCCCCUCACCGGGUGCACUGAUCCAGCCGGGCCUUUCCCUCUGUGGAACCCCAUGGCCUUCACUGGCUGUGGCGGGGAAACAGGACUUUUACUUUGAAAAAUUAGAGUGCUCCAGGCAGGCCUAUGCUCGAAUACAUUAGCAUGGAAUAAUAGAAUAGGACGUGUGGUUCUAUUUU
rnacentral:rRNA from 1 species